rnacentral:misc_RNA from 1 species
GGAUGAAGAACGUAGCGAAAUGCGAUAAGUAGUGUGAAUUGCAGAAUUCAGUGAAUCAUCGAAUCUUUGAACGCACAUUGCGCCCCUUGGUAUCCCGAGGGGCAUGCCUGUUCGAGCGUCAUUUCACCACUCAAGCCUGGCUUGGUGUUGGGCGACGUCCCCUUUGGGGACGCGCCUCGAAACGCUCGGCGGCGUGGCACCGGCUUUAAGCGUAGCAGAAUCUUUCGCUUUGGAAGUCGGGGCCCCGUCUGCCGGAAGACCUACUCGCAAGGUUGACCUCGGAUCAGGCAGGGAUACCCGCUGAACUUAAGCAUAUCAAUAAGCGGAGGA